GACGAACGCUGGCGGCGUGCUUAACACAUGCAAGUCGAACGGAAAGGCCCUGCUUUUGUUGGGUGCUCGAGUGGCGAACGGGUGAGUAACACGUGAGUAACCUGCCCUUGACUUUGGGAUAACUUUAGGAAACUGGGGCUAAUACCGGAUAGGAGCUCCUGCUGCAUGUUGGGGGUUGGAAAGUGUCGGCGGUUGGGGAUGGACUCGCGGCUUAUCCGCUUGUUGGUGGGGUAGUGGCGUACCAAGGCUUUGAAGGGUAGCCGGCCUGAGAGGGUGACCGGCCACAUGGGGCCUGAGAUACGGACCAGACUCCUACGGGACGCAGCAGUGGGGAAUAUUGCACAAUGGGCGGAAGCCUGAUGCAGCAACGCCGCGUGCGGGAUGACGGCCUUCGGGUUGUAAACCGCUUUCGCCUGUGACGAAGCGUGAGUGACGGUAAUGGGUAAGGAAGCACCGGCUAACUACGUG
rnacentral:rRNA from 1 species